rnacentral:ncRNA from 1 species
AAAGGAGGACGACCUCCCCCACUUCGGGCAUAACUACCAGGACGACCUGG